rnacentral:rRNA from 1 species
GACGAACGCUGGCGGCGUGCUUAACACAUGCAAGUCGAACGGUGAAGGGACCGGUUUUUGCUGGUUCUGGAUGAGUGGCGAACGGGUGAGUAACACGAGAGUAACCUGAUCCCUUCUUCUGGAUAAUCGCAUGAUAGUGUGGUUAAUCCGGGAUCUUCUGCGCCUGCAGCAUGGUGGGUGUGGGAAAGAUCUUGUUUCUGUGGGGGAUGGGUUAGCGGCCUAUCAGCUUGUUGGUGGGGUGAUGGCCUACCAAGGCGGUGACGGGUAGCCGGCCUGCGAGGAUGGACGGCCACACUAGGACGGAGACGCGGCCGAGACGCCUACGAGGGGCAGCAGUGGGGAGUAUUGCACAAUGGGCGCAAGCCUGAUGCAGCGACGCCGCGUGAGGGAGGGAGGCCGUCGGGUUGUAGACCUCUUUCGCCAGUGAAGCAGGCCUGUCCCGUUUGUGGGUGGGUUGACGGUAGCUGGAGAAGAAGCGCCGGCUAACUACGUG